UGCAUCACUUCAUCUAAGAUCAUCUGAUUCCCAUAUGAAAGAUUCAAAAACCUAUUGACGCAAGUCAUUUCAGCCACAUACACAAGACAGUCUUUUUCUAAGUAUUUUUGUUCGAAAGUAAAACAACCGUGGGAAAGCUGUUUUAGGUCAACGACCUCCUGAUUCUCGGAGACGUCCAUCCUGUAGGCUAUAGAAGGAGGGCCUCGCUGCAUAGUUUAUGGAACCUCCGGGAGCAGUGCACAGUAAAUGAGAGACCUAAAGGGGAACACAGAUGGAAUUUCUCUCUGCUAACAUGCAUCAAGCUUCCGCGAUUGUGAGGCGAUUCAUUAGAACGUUUUUGUGAAUUUUUUUAGCAUCAUCUGAUAAACAUAAUGUGAGCGCAGAUGUUGAUCUGCAGGGACAGAGCAAAGUCUAACAUGUAGCGG
ensembl:lncRNA